GACGAACGCUGGCGGCGUGCUUAACACAUGCAAGUCGAACGGAAAGGCCCUGCUUUUGUGGGGUGCUCGAGUGGCGAACGGGUGAGUAACACGUGAGUAACCUGCCCUUGACUUUGGGAUAACUUCAGGAAACUGGGGCUAAUACCGGAUAGGAGCUCCUGCUGCAUGGUGGGGGUUGGAAAGUUUCGGCGGUUGGGGAUGGACUCGCGGCUUAUCAGCUUGUUUGUGGGGUAGUGGCUUACCAAGGCUUUGACGGGUAGCCGGCCUGAGAGGGUGACCGGCCACAUGGGGACUGAGGUAGGGACCAGACGGCUACGGGAGGCAGCAGUGGAGAAUAUUGCAGAAUGGGCGGAAGCCUGAUGCAGCAGCGCCGCGUGCGGGAUGACGGCCUUCGGGUUGUAAACAGCUUUCGCCUGUGACGAAGAGAGAGUGACGGUAAUGGGUAAAGAAGCACCGGCUAACUACGUG
rnacentral:rRNA from 1 species